rnacentral:rRNA from 1 species
AGAGCGAACGCUGGCGGCAGGCCUAACACAUGCAAGUCGAGCGCCCGUAGCAAUACGGGAGCGGCAGACGGGAUAGUAACACGUGGGAACGCGCCCUUCGGUUCGGAAUAACUCAGGGAAACUUGAGCUAAUACCGAAUACACCCUUACGGGGAAAGAUUUAUUGCCGAAGGAACGGCCCGCGUCCGAUUAGCUAGUUGGUGAGGUAAUGGCUCACCAAGGCUACGAUCGGUAGCUGGUCUGAGAGGAUGACCAGCAUCACUGGGACUGAGACACGGCCCAGACUCCUACGGGAGGCAGCAGUGGGGAAUAUUGGACAAUGGGCGCAAGCCUGAUCCAGCCAUGCCGCGUGGAUGAUGAAGGCCUUAGGGUUGUAAAGUCCUUUUAACGGGGAAGAUAAUGACGGUACCCGUAGAAUAAGCCCGGCUAACUUCGUGCCAGCAGCCGC